rnacentral:rRNA from 1 species
GAUGAACGCUGGUGGCGUGCCUAAUACAUGCAAGUCGAGCGAACGGACGAGAAGCUUGCUUCUCUGAUGUUAGCGGCGGACGGGUGAGUAACACGUGGAUAACCUACCUAUAAGACUGGGAUAACUUCGGGAAACCGGAGCUAAUACCGGAUAAUAUUUUGAACCGCAUGGUUCAAAAGUGAAAGACGGUCUUGCUGUCACUUAUAGAUGGAUCCGCGCUGCAUUAGCUAGUUGGUAAGGUAACGGCUUACCAAGGCAACGAUGCAUAGCCGACCUGAGAGGGUGAUCGGCCACACUGGAACUGAGACACGGUCCAGACUCCUACGGGAGGCAGCAGUAGGGAAUCUUCCGCAAUGGGCGAAAGCCUGACGGAGCAACGCCGCGUGAGUGAUGAAGGUCUUCGGAUCGUAAAACUCUGUUAUUAGGGAAGAACAUAUGUGUAAGUAACUGUGCACAUCUUGACGGUACCUAAUCAGAAAGCCACGGCUAACUACGUGCCAGCAGCCGCGGUAAUACGUAGGUGGCAAGCGUUAUCCGGAAUUAUUGGGCGUAAAGCGCGCGUAGGCGGUUUUUUAGUCUGAUGUGAAAGCCCACGGCUCAACCGUGGAGGGUCAUUGGAAACUGGAAAACUUGAGUGCAGAAGAGGAAAGUGGAAUUCCAUGUGUAGCGGCGAAAUGCGCAGAGAUAUGGAGGAACACCAGUGGCGAAGGCGACUUUCUGGUCUGUAACUGACGCUGAUGUGCGAAAGCGUGGGGAUCAAACAGGAUUAGAUACCCUGGUAGUCCACGCCGUAAACGAUGAGUGCUAAGUGUUAGGGGGUUUCCGCCCCUUAGUGCUGCAGCUAACGCAUUAAGCACUCCGCCUGGGGAGUACGACCGCAAGGUUGAAACUCAAAGGAAUUGACGGGGACCCGCACAAGCGGUGGAGCAUGUGGUUUAAUUCGAAGCAACGCGAAGAACCUUACCAAAUCUUGACAUCCUUUGACAACUCUAGAGAUAGAGCCUUCCCCUUCGGGGGACAAAGUGACAGGUGGUGCAUGGUUGUCGUCAGCUCGUGUCGUGAGAUGUUGGGUUAAGUCCCGCAACGAGCGCAACCCUUAAGCUUAGUUGCCAUCAUUAAGUUGGGCACUCUAAGUUGACCGCCGGUGACAAACCAGAGGAAGGUGGGGAUGACGUCAAAUCAUCAUGCCCCUUAUGAUUUGGGCUACACACGUGCUACAAUGGACAAUACAAAGGGCAGCGAAACCGCGAGGUCAAGCAAAUCCCAUAAAGUUGUUCUCAGUUCGGAUUGUAGUCUGCAACUCGCCUACAUGAAGCUGGAAUCGCUAGUAAUCGUAGAUCAGCAUGCUACGGUGAAUACGUUCCCGGGUCU